rfam:Hordeum vulgare subsp. vulgare, WGS project CAJW01000000 data, contig: morex_contig_1588937
AUAUUACUCCCUUCGUCUCAAAAUUCUUGUCUUAGGUUUUUCUAGAAAUAAAUGUAUGUAAAUACUAAAAUGUGACUAGAUACAUUCAUAUUUAGACAAAUCUAAGACAAUAAUUUUGGGACGGAUGGAGUAGAAU